GGCGGGAUAGCUCAGUAGGUAGAGCAGAGGCCUGAAGAGCCUUGUGUCAGUAGUUCGAUUCUACUUCUCGCUA
rnacentral:tRNA from 1 species